rnacentral:rRNA from 1 species
GAUGAACGCUGGCGGCGUGCCUAAUACAUGCAAGUCGAGCGAACGGACGAGAAGCUUGCUUCUCUGAUGUUAGCGGCGGACGGGUGAGUAACACGUGGAUAACCUACCUAUAAGACUGGGAUAACUUCGGGAAACCGGAGCUAAUACCGGAUAAUAUUUUGAACCGCAUGGUUCAAAAGUGAAAGACGGUCUUGCUGUCACUUAUAGAUGGAUCCGCGCUGCAUUAGCUAGUUGGUAAGGUAACGGCUUACCAAGGCAACGAUGCAUAGCCGACCUGAGAGGGUGAUCGGCCACACUGGAACUGAGACACGGUCCAGACUCCUACGGGAGGCAGCAGUAGGGAAUCUUCCGCAAUGGGCGAAAGCCUGACGGAGCAACGCCGCGUGAGUGAUGAAGGUCUUCGGAUCGUAAAACUCUGUUAUUAGGGAAGAACAUAUGUGUAAGUAACUGUGCACAUCUUGACGGUACCUAAUCAGAAAGCCACGGCUAACUACGUGCCAGCAGCCGCGGUAAUACGUAGGUGGCAAGCGUUAUCCGGAAUUAUUGGGCGUAAAGCGCGCGUAGGCGGUUUUUUAAGUCUGAUGUGAAAGCCCACGGCUCAACCGUGGAGGGUCAUUGGAAACUGGAAGACUUGAGUGCAGAAGAGGAAAGUGGAAUUCCAUGUGUAGCGGUGAAAUGCGCAGAGAUAUGGAGGAACACCAGUGGCGAAGGCGACUUUCUGGUCUGUAACUGACGCUGAUGUGCGAAAGCGUGGGGAUCAAACAGGAUUAGAUACCCUGGUAGUCCACGCCGUAAACGAUGAGUGCUAAGUGUUAGGGGGUUUCCGCCCCUUAGUGCUGCAGCUAACGCAUUAAGCACUCCGCCUGGGGAGUACGACCGCAAGGUUGAAACUCAAAGGAAUUGACGGGGACCCGCACAAGCGGUGGAGCAUGUGGUUUAAUUCGAAGCAACGCGAAGAACCUUACCAAAUCUUGACAUCCUUUGACAACUCUAGAGAUAGAGCCUUCCCCUUCGGGGGACAAAGUGACAGGUGGUGCAUGGUUGUCGUCAGCUCGCGUCGUGAGAUGUUGGGUUAAGUCCCGCAACGAGCGCAACCCUUAAGCUUAGUUGCCAUCAUUAAGUUGGGCACUCUAAGUUGACUGCCGGUGACAAACCGGAGGAAGGUGGGGAUGACGUCAAAUCAUCAUGCCCCUUAUGAUUUGGGCUACACACGUGCUACAAUGGACAAUACAAAGGGCAGCGAAACCGCGAGGUCAAGCAAAUCCCAUAAAGUUGUUCUCAGUUCGGAUUGUAGUCUGCAACUCGACUACAUGAAGCUGGAAUCGCUAGUAAUCGUAGAUCAGCAUGCUACGGUGAAUACGUUCCCGGGUCU